AUGGCGCCAGAUAGCUCGACCACCCUGCGCUCGUCCAUCCAGCCGCAUCCGUCAUCGAAAUGCAGCUGCACCAUGCCGCCAACACUCGUCGCUAAUGACGCGGUAGAUACAACGCCACACCACCUAGCAACCUCCGCACCAUCGCCACUGCUGGAGCUACUCGGAGCCCACCAUCCACAACAUCUCUCUCCCGAACAACUCCUCCCAAGAUGGCGCCUCCAUGGAGGAUACGAUGCACAGGACGCCGCCGCCGCCCAAUCCAGACUGAAUUUUGGACUUUCGUCUAGGAGGGGUUCAGGAGUGGAUAGGGAGGACCUCGGCUUCGCCUCCAGGAAGGGUAACGGCGUCAACUGA
rnacentral:rRNA from 1 species